GUAGAUGAGCUGCCCAGAGUUUGACUCCAUAUAAGAAAUUUCUGGCCAUAGGAUGUAUAGACCACGUUUUGAAGUAAUUUCCCCAUUAUGAGGUGGGGGUGGGAAAUGAAGCUGAUGCUGAAUAUUCACUUGUCUGGGAUGCUACAAAGGAGUCUUGGGUGGGAGGACAAACUGAACCCCAAGCGACUUGUGUUAGGUCACACCGUGGGAUGAAAAAGGUGACUACAAUAUUGGGAGAUGACUCCUGAGCUUGUUGUCCAAAGUCCAGACUCUGCCCCUUGAUUACUUGUGUGACCUUUUUAAAGGUCGCAAAGCCCCUUUAAGGCCGGAGUUUCACACCUAUAAUCUGGGUUUGAUAAGUAAUGCCUCCUGCCUUGAGUGUGUAGGAGUAGGGCCAAACCUGCAGGCUAUAAAGGCCUCAAAUACUGGUUCCCACCAUAAGGCAAAUACCAAUAUUUGCAUUAGUGAUGUGGGGAGUUCCCACAAACAGCUUUCUUCUUUUCCCCACAGCGUCUUACUUAAUCAACCAACAGAUGAAGUUUGUAGAAAAUGAGAAAGGAAAUUUGACUCAUUAAACAAGUCGGGUACAGGGGAUGACCACCAAAACUAGAAGCAGCCAAGCUCAGUCUUGCUGUAAAGACAGGACUUUUGUGCCUGCCUGUAGAUUGGCAUUGGUGAGCAGAGCUGCCUGGGGCUGAACUACCAGCCCAGGGAAGCAGCUAAGGGGAGACGGGGACUGCGCAUGAGAACACCAAGCUGCUUGGAAUCACUCAGGGUGAGGUCAGUCCAACAGGAAUGAGCACAGUUCAACAGGGUGCCAGGCACUUUCUAAAGUGAGGUUGUUUCUACUUGGAUUCUACCAUUUGUUGAGUGCUUACUGUGGGUGCUGCAGAGUCCCUGGGUGGUGAAAAUGGUUAAGAUGCUCGGCUGCUAACUGAAAGGUUUGAGGUUCAAGUCUACCCAGAGAUGCCUCAGAAAAAAGGGCUAAUGAUCUACUUGCAAAAAAUCAGUCAUUGAAAGUCCUAUGGAACACAGCACUAUUCAGGACACAUACGAGUCACGAUCUGACUCAACGGCAACUGGUUUGUGGGCACUGGAGGUGGAGUGCUCACUGUGUCUCAGCACAGAAAAACCUGGAGGUACAGAUGAAAAAGUUCAAUUCCUACCAUCAAUGGGCUUACAAUCUGAAGGAAGACAAACAACCAUAAUAGAAAAAGAAAACGACUAUAAUGGUGUAAUAAACAAUACGCAGUUGCGAGCUUAGAAAAAAAGAGUCCUCCAGUGGCAUAAAACUCAGAGAAGCCUAAGAGAUAUGGACCAUGAGAGCAGUUGACAGGUAAAUAGCAGUUUGCUUGGGAGGACAAGUUUGGGAAGAGUGUUCCUGACAGGAAAACAGCAGGUGCAGAGACACCCAGAGCAAGGGAGCAUGGAAUGUUCCAGAGGACAUAGGAAGUCUGUUGUCAAAAUUACAAAGGGCCUUGACUCCCCUGAGGAAGAGUUUAGAUUUGUCUUAGCCUGACACCCUCGUGCUCUGCUGAGGCUAUCUGUCAAUCAGUGGUUAGGAAAUGUGGUCACUGUUUCUUUAUUGUAAGGCUGGGCCUCAGACGUGGGAGUCGUUUUCUAAACAUCAAUGUUCCUCUUCUCUUGUAUCAUGUGCAGCUGAGCAGGACACCUGGAAUGGGACCCCAGCUCAGCAGAUGGAGCAUCUGCAGGGCCUCAUGGCUUCUGGGCUGCAUUAGCCUCCUCCAGGGUGUCUGGGGCACUGGGGCCAAGGGUUCUGGAGCACAUGAUUCUGGAACUAAGGAUUCUGGAGCUCAUGUUCUUCUGAAGGAGAUCCGAGGAGGUUCUGUCUUGUUUCACGUGAUCGUGAAGCCAGAAGUAAAUCCAGGAGAGGAAGUACAGGAGAUUAGGUGGAGCUUUGGCUCUGAGCCAUCCUACAGAGUCAUGCUGCGUGUCCAUAAUGGGGCAGACUCUCCAACAUGGGUCAGUCUCCAAGACAAGUACAAGCAGAGGGUCCAUGUGCCCAAUAUGACAAUGCUGAGGAUUGAGAACCUGACCCUUGAGGACAGUGGGCAGUACCGGGCUCGAGUCAGCUUAAAUGAAGGAAGAGAAUUUAUCCAGAUGUUCCACCUGAUUGUCUAUGAGCCUGUCCCCAUCCCCCAGAUCCUGGCCAAGUCAUCAUCCACCACACCAGGCUGGUGCAAUGUCACCCUGGAGUGCAUGGCCACAGGGGCCACAAAGAACCGGCAUAUGACCUGGGAAAGCAAGGGCCUCCCCAAGAACCUGAAUCAGAGAGAGAUACCAGGACCUGUCAUCAACUCCUGGACCCUGGCUCUGAGUCUGCCUGUGAGCCAGCACCUGAGCAGGCCCAAUGCCAACCUCACUUGUGUGGUCAGCAACUCUGAGGACCAGAAAAAUACCACGUUACAUGUGGGCGAAGUCUGUUGGCCUGAAGAAAAUGACCAGAAAGGGACAAGAGCUCAAUUCCUGUUCACGUUGCUGUCGAUGAUGCUGGCAAAAGGCCUUCUCCUCCUCGCGCUCCUUGGCAAGCUGGGCGUCCAGGUUGCCAAGGUCAAAUUUCCAGCAGAAGGAAGGAAGUGAGAGGUGCUCAAGCAGAUUCGAGAACUGGAUCGGGAUUUUAUUUUCAUUUUGGUGCUUUGUCAAGUUUUCAAACAAUUGAAUGUCCUUGAAGGAGAAAACACUUGUAUCAGUUUUCCAAUAUUGUCUGUGUUGAUUCCAUGAGGUUUUACACACCCAUGUAAAUCAAUGUCAGUAAAUUCCAUUUUCCAGAAAUUGUUCUUUUCCUUAAGAUUUUUAAAUUGAAUAGAUUUUCAUUAUAUAUUACAUUCUCUUACAAGGUGUUUUUUUUUUUUUUUACUUCUUUUUUUUUUUUUUGCUUUUUUAAAUAUGAGAGGAUCUUACUAAAUGUCUAAGAGUUAAAUUAGGUGAAGUUUCCAACCUCAAGUGCUAGAGGAUCCCAUUAGCCAGUUCAGAGUUUUUCUCUUUGGAUGCACUGGCAAAGGCAGUUUGGUGGUUCAGCUGGUGGCAUGGGGUGCACUGAUGGGGUUCCCUAUCUCUUCACUUCCUCUACUAAGAACUUGGAAAUGAGGGAAGUAAGGGUUUGUUUGGUUUCGGGUUUCUUUUUUUUUUUUUUUUAAUUGACAACAGUGGUAUACAAAGUCAUUUUGUAGAGAUUCCAACUUGUUAACCAGGACAAGACUUAAUCUCAAAUAUGAACAUGACUAAAGAAAGAAUAUGUCAAUCAAAGGAAGACUGAUAAAAAUCAGACCAUAAAGAUAGGUGAGUGACAUAGACAAACUAAGUGCUGUCAGGCUCGCAAGAGAGCUCCGUACCCCAGCCAGGUAAAUCCUACCGUGGAGCUAGAGCAUUCAGACUCUCCAGGAACAGUGGACUUUCAUACCAGCAGCAUUUGCCCACUUGUCCUGACUCCUGCUCACCAAGCAGCUCACUCGCCGUCCGUGUGGUCUAAACUGGGGAAGAGGAUUCAUUCCUCAGACCUAUGGGACUAUCCAGUCUAGUUGAAAAGUAUUCUUCUUAUUGUAAAUUAAUAAAUAUGCAUGCUGGUUUUGUCUGCCAGUGCCGUACGAGAUUUGUUGACAAGAUUUUGCAUCCAAAAGUCAAGUCAAUUCUUGACAAUAGAUGAAAUGUAGCUUCAGAGCUCAAACUCAGAUUCUGAAAGACAGACUAAACCAUGGUGAAUUUCUGAAACUAAUGCCAACCUGUGAGCCUUGUCAUUCAUUCAUUUCUUCACUCAACAUUUUAUGGGCUACAAGCUGAGGACAUAUCGAGGAUUAUUUUGGAAGACAAACUCUCAGCCUCUCCUUGCCAUGAUUCAACAGCCCAGACUAAAUGCAUCUUCACAUCCCUGUGAUAAGUGCUAUGGACAAAAAGAGCCAGGAAGAGUAAUGAGAAUGCCAGGACGAUGUUGCAGUUUUAAAUAGGGAGCUGGAAUAAAUCUCACUAAAAAUAUAACAUUUGCACAAAGACCAGAAGAAGGUGAGGAAAUGAGACAUGAAGAUUCCUGAAGGAAAAGAAUUUCAGGCAGAAGCAAAGCCCCUAAGGCAGAAGGAGCAUGAUUGGUAUGUUCAAAAAAAUAGCAACAGGGUCAGUGUGGUUUAAAACAAGGUUUCAGCAAGUUGCAUUCCUUUCUGGAAACUCUAGGGGAGAAUCUAUUUCCUGAUCAUUCUGAUAGUUGACCGAAUCCAGUUCCAUGCAGUUGCAGAACAGAGGUCUUGGUUUUCUUGUUGACUGUAAACUGAGGGCUAUUCCACCUUUUAGUGGCUGCCUCAUUCCUUUGCUCAUGGCCCACUCUUCCUCCAUCUUCAAAGCCAGGAAUAGCAGGUCCAGUCCUUCUCACAACAAAUCUCUGGCCCACUCUUUUGCUUUUCUUCCUUUACCUUUAAGAACUCUUGUGAUUAGACUGGGCCCAUCUGUAUAAGCCAAGAUAAUCUCCCAUCUAAGGUCCUUAACCUUAAUCAUGUCUGCAAAGUCCCUUCUGCCAAGUAAGGCAACAUAUUUGCAGGAUUCAGAAAUCAGGAUGUGGACAUCUUUGGGGGCCAUUGUUCUUCCUAUUACAACAUCAGAGACACUGAAGAAGGGAAGUCUGAAAACUGAACUCUGGGGUGUAGAAGUGGGAGAGAUGAGAAAGAAACCAGUAAAGGAAACUCAGGAGCACCCAGUGAGUAGGAGGAAAAGAACUGCAAGUGCAGAUGUGAGGUGAAGACAGGGUUUCAUGGAAGAAGUGACCCAUGUGUCAAUUGCUGUUGAGAAGUUAAGGAAGACGAGGCCUGAGAAUUGACUACUGGAUUUAGCAUCACGGGCUUCUCAGGGGACUUUAACAAGAGCAAUGUCCAUGGAGUUCUGGGGAAAUGCAUGAUUAGAGAGAACUCCAGAGAAAAAGGGAGGGAAUUAGUAGGAAGAAAUAUAGAGAAUUUCUUUCAGAGAAUUUUGCUAUAAAUUGGAGAGAAAAAUGGGAGAGUACUAGCGGGGAGUCGAGUUUAUAAGAUUCUUUCAAUGAGGAAAAUUACAGUAUGCUUGUGUACUGAUAAAAAUAAUCUGUAGAUUUUUUCAAAAGCUAAUACAGGGAAGAACUUGUGGAGUGAUGACACUGCACAGGCAAGAGAUGGAAUCUGGUGCCCAAGAGGAGCACCAGACCUACAGGAGCCAAGAUCAUCCAAAAUCAUAAGGACAAAGGCAGAAGGUAUGUGUUCAGAAGCAGGGCAGCGGGUAGGUCUGGUGAUGGAGUUUGUGGAAGUUCUUCUGAUUAGUUCUAUAUUGUCACUUAAUAAAAGGCAAAGUAAUCUAUUGUGGAUGAGGAUGGGGAAGAGGAAUUGGGGUUCAAGGAGAGAUAAGACAUGCUCAUUGUUCUAGUUUCCUAGUGCUGUUAUAACAGAAAUACCACAAGUAAAACCCAUUGCCAUCAAGUCAAUUCCAACUCUUAGCGACCCUAUAGGACAGCAUAGAACUGUCCCAUAGAGUUUCCAAGGAAUGCCUAGUGGACUUGAACUACCAACCUUUUGGUUAGCAGCCAUAGCAAUUAACCACUACAGCACCAGGGUUUCCAUACCACAAGUAGGUGGCUUUAAAGAAGAGAAAUGUAUUUUUUCACAGUUGAGAAGACUAGAAGGCUGAACUCAGGGCAUCAGCUAUAGGGGAUGGAUCUCUCAGUCUGUCAGCUGCCAGGAAAGAUCUUUGUCUCUUUCAGCUUCUAUUUCUCAGUUUCUUGUUGAUCUUCAUGUACCAUCUUUCUUCCCCACUUGUGCCUGCUUGUCUCUGUGUCUAUGCUGCUCUUUAUAUCACUCAGAAGUACUUAGGUUUCAGACACACCCCAUACUGGCAUGGCCUUAUUAACGUAGGGCAGGGGCUAUUUAACUAAGAGGAAACCCCCUAAUUUUGGCCCCUGGAGUCAUUCCCUGGGAAACAGAAGGCAAGAAAGGCCUGGAUAACACGAGUUCCUCUUCCCACUCUACAGAAAGGAGGGUUUGGGCCCCAUAGGUGAGGCUAAGGCUUAGGUCCAAGUUAGUACAAAUGGCAAGUAGGAGGGCUCUUGCCCAGCUGUAUAAUAUACACUACGCAGUCCCCCAAACACACACACACAUAGCCCGCUAUACACAGAAAGCCCUACAGAAGGUAAAAAAAAGAAGCCUUGGGCCAGUCCUUUUGUAGGCUUCUACCCAUUCGUGCUGUUUCCAUCAACCCCCAAAUCAGCAUCCCACGUGUCUUCCAGAGGAACACUCCAGUUCCCAGGGCCAUCAGCACAGUCACAAAGGCGCCAAGGAUGACUCCCAGGGAGCUAGCCUCAUCUAGUCCAGUUUCCUUCACGAGAGAGUGAAUAAAGAUAAAGCAAGAGAGAAUUUGAGAUACCCAUUCCCAAGAGGAUUUAGAAAAAGAGCAAGUGGAGAAAUCUGGAGGGGGCUGGUUCAGAAAUUAAAGGAGGGAAAGUCAUGGCAGGCCCACUCAUUCACUCAGUUACCGAGCUCUAUCUGGGUGCCAGGGAUGCUGACAGGAAAAAGGUGUGCUCUGUGCCCUGGAGUAGCUCAUCUCACUGCAGGACAAAGGGAUCGCAGCUGUAAUAAAGGUUUUUACCUUAUACAUAGGUCUUCGCGGAGGGCUUGCCAGAGAAGGUGAUACAUAAGCUGAGUCUUGAGGGAGAGGUAGAAAUUUUCCAGACACUGAGGGUGGGUGAGACAUUCCAGGAAGGAGGAGCACCAUGUUCAGAAAAUGGCUACGUCAAAAUGCCAGCCCUCUGGGCAUGGCCAGCAGCCUGGUUGCAGUAGGCAGGAGUAGAACAGGACAGGGAGGAGUACCAGGCUUGGAUGAUUACAGGGAGGCAGGAGCCUGGUCCCAGAUUGUGUUGUGAGUCAUGCUAAUUGUUGAACUUCAUCUGAGACUCCAGGAUGGAGAAGGGCAACUGAGGGUUUUAAGAGAUGUUGUAACACCAUCAGAUCCUUCUAGAAGCAGGUGAAGAGGUGGGUUAGAAAGGGCAACAAUGCACGUUGGAUACCAGUUAAUUCAUUAAUUCAAUGAAAUACUGAUUCCAAGCACACUUUGGCCAAAAGCUGAGAUACAAAGGAGAACAAGACGUAGCUCUUGACAUCAAAACAUUUCGGUCUACAAAGUAGAUAAACACAUAAACAUUUCCUUCCAAAUCAGCUCACAAUAUUCUGUGAUAAAAGGAGGCCCGGAGAGAUGCCAAGUGUGGCGUGAGCAUGGAUGGCUUCUUAAAGGAGGGGAUGGCCAGAGAGGCGAGGCAAAGAUGGUAGAAUAGUCAGAUGCUUCCGACGAUCCCUCUUACAACAAAGACCUGAAACAACAAGUGAAAAGAUUAUAUAUAUGACAAGCUAGGGGCCCUGAACAUCAAAGGCAAAGCUGGGAAAUCCGACCGAGUGGCAGGGGGAGGGAGAGAUGGUUCAGAAGCGGCAAGGAGUUGCUAGACCUGACUCAAGCGGGAACCGGUGACCCUAAGGCACAAUUCCCUGGAACAACUACACCAGGGCUGGCGGUAGCAUUCGGGAUGCAGUGUCCUCAGGGAGAGACAGCAAGCCACACAGUCUAUUCACACCUCCAAAACUAGAAAAGAGCAGCACUCUCAGCAAAAGCUAAUACUUGCCUUUAUAUUACCGUGCACCGGGUCCAAGCUGGCUUCAGUGGCUGUCUAUUUCCCUGAGCCUGAGAUAGGUCCUGCUGCUUGACCUAAGCCAUUCUCACAGCCUUUGAGAAGGAAUAAAUUAACAAUUGAGAGAAAAGAUAAUCUGCCAGGUCCACUAAGCUGGGGAGUUCAGGACAGAAGCAAUUCCCCUCCAGACACAAAAAGUCCACGGACUUUGAAUACCUUUCACCCCUGCAUGGACCUGUGUGGGCCCAUUUCAGGAGAUUAUGCCCAUGAUUAGCAGACUUCCAUGGUGUAUGUGCUUGAGAUCUGACUUCAGCUGUUUCAGCUGUGCAGUGGAGAGGUAGGUUUUUGAUGCUUGACACUGCUUUGCCUAUUAUACAGGGUCCUCACCAACACACAUCAGGGGCCUGAGGACUGGUGGCUCCACCCACAUCACCUAGCUACCUGUGAAAGGGGUCUAAUGAUAAGUGGCCUUUCCUGCCCAUGGUCUGACUGCAGAACCCACCCGCCUGUGCGCUAUAGGGAACAGGGAUGCACUUUCCUCACAGACACUUGGGAGAUGGUUGUCAGCCCCCUGCCUUGUUCACAGCAUGACCCCCUGCUGCACCCAGAUACCUGUGCCUACACCAAUCACCCCAGCCCCUAUAAGACUGUAGGACAGAGCCUGUACCACACACUUGAUGACCAACUAUCUGGACACCUGAGCUGAAUCCAUACAAGAAAAGUGAAUGGAAUCCUAGGCUCAUAUACCUGGUAAGAGCUCUAGCCAUCUGGUGACAGGAUAUCAAAGCUUCAAAGGUGCAAAUAAUCAAGCUAGCUCACUCAAGCAGCCUAUUUGGGCAUAUCAAAACAAAACAAUGCAAGAAGCUAGGAUACAGUAAGCAAACAUAAAAUAAAUUAAUACAAUAACUUAUAGAUGGCUCUGAGACAACAGUCAAUAUCAAAUCACAUAAAGAGCACACCACGAUCACUUAAACAAGCUCUCAAAACAAAGAAUCAAGGACUCUUCCAGAUGUAGACGUAUUCCUGGAAUUACCAGAUGUAGAAUACAAAAGAUUAAUAUACAGAACUCUUUAAGAGGUCAGGAAAGAGAUCAGGCAAACACAGAACGAGCCAAGGAACACACAGAUAAAGCAGUUGAAGAAAUUGAAAGGUUAUCCAAGAACAUAAUAAAAAAUUUAAUAGGCUGCAAGAAUCCAUAGGGACAGCAAUCAGAAAUUCAGAAGAUUAACAAUAAAAUUACAGAAUUAGAAUUAGACUACUCAGUAGAAAAUCAGAGGAGCACAAUUGAGAAAAUGGAAGGCAGAAUUAGUAAGCUUGAAAAUAAAACACUUGGUACCAAUAUAUUUGAGGAAAAAUCCGAUAAAAGAAUUUAAAAAAUGAAGAAAACCUAAGAAUCAUGUAGGACUCUAUCAAGAGAAAUAACCUGUGAGUGAUUGGAGUACCAGAACAGGGAGGGAUAACAGGAAAUACAGAGAGAAUUGUUGAAGAUUAGUUGACAGAAAACUUCCCUGAUAUUGUGAAAAAUGAAAAGAUAUCUAUCCAAGAUGCUCAUCAAACACCACAUAAAGUAGAUCUCAAAAGGAAGUCACCAAAGACUUAUUAUAAUCAAACUUGCCAAAACUAAAGAUGAAGAAAGAAUUUUAAGAGCAGCUAGGGAUAAACGAAAAGUCACCUACAAAGGAGACUCAAUAAGAAUAAGAUCGGACUACUCGGCAGAAACCAUGCAGGCAAGAAGGCAAAGGGAUGACUUAAAUAAAGCACUGGAGUAAAAAAAAAUUGCUAGCCAAGAAUCAUAUAUCCAGCAAAACUGUCUCAAAUAUGAAGGAGAAAUUAGGACAUUUCCAGACAAACAGAAGUUUAGGGAAUUCGUAAAAACCAAACCAAAGCUACAAGAAAUACUAAAGGGAAUUUUCCAGUUACAAAAUCAAUAAUAUCAGACACCAGCCCAACACUAGAAAACAGGACAGAGCAACCAGAUAUCAACCCAGAUAGGGAAAUCACAAAAACAAAUCAAGAUUUUAAAAAAUGCUCAAAACAGGGAAACAGCAAUGUCAUUCUUCAAAAAUGACAAUCUUAAAACAAUAAAGAGGGACUUAAAAAAUGUAGUCAUAGAUCUUUCACAUGAAGAGGAAGUCAAGGCAAUAUAAAGAAAUCAAAGUUCGGUUUAAACUUAGAAAAAUAAGGGUAAAUAUUAAGGUAGCCACAAAUGAGAAUGACUUCUACACAUCAAAAUAAAAUACAGGAAAAACAGAAAGACUCAGCAAAAACAAAACUGACAAUAACAAAUAAGAGGAAAAGACAAUAUAUAAAGAUAAACUACUCAGCACAAAAAAUUAAGUGGGAAAAAGAAACUGUCAACAGCACAAAAAAAAGACAUCAAAAUAACAGCAAUAAACUCAUACCUAUCAAUAUUCCACUGAAUGUAAAUGGACUAAAUGCACCAAUAAAGAGGCAGAGUGGCAGAAUGGAUUAAAAAAAAAACAUGAUCACCAUCUAUACGCUGCCUACAAGAGACACUCCUUAGACUUAAAGACACAAAUAAACUAAAACUCAAAGGAUGGAAAAAAUAUAUCAAGCAAACAACAAUCAAAAAAGAGCAGGAGUGUCAAUAUUAAUUUCUGACAAAAUAGACUUUAAAGUUAAAACCACCACAAAGGAUAAGGAAAGACACUAUACACUGCUUAAAAGGACAAUAUACCAGGGGGAUACAACCAUAUUAAAUAUUUAUGCAUCCAAUGACAGGGCUUCAAGAUACAUAAAACAAACUCUAACAGCACUGAAAAGUGAGAUAGACAGCUCCACAAUAAUAGCAGAAGACUUCAACACGCCACUUUCAGUGAAGGACAGGACAUGCAGAAAGAAGCUCAAUAAAGACAUGGAAGAUCUAAAUGCCACAAUCAACCAACUUGACCUCAUGGACAUAGACAGAACAUUCCACUCAACAGCAGCCAAAUAUACUUUCUUUUCCAACACAUAUGGAACAUUCUCUAGAAUAGACCCCAUAUUAGCUCAUAAAGCAAGCCUUAACAGAACACAAAACAUUGAAAUAUUACAAAGCAAGAUCUCUGACAGUAAAGCCAUAAAAGUAGAAAUCAACAGAAAAAGCAGGGAGAAAAAAUCAAACAUUUGGAAACUAAACAACACUGUGCUCAAAAACGAUUGGAUUAUGGAUGGAAUAGAGAAAUUCAUAGAAUCCAAUGAGAAUGAAAAUACUUCCUAUCAGAACCUUUGAGGCACAACUAAAGCAGUGCUUGGUUUAUAGCAAUAAAUGCACACAUCCAAAAAGAAGAAAGGGCCAAAACCAAAGAAUUAUCACUACAACUUGAAUAAGUAGAGAGCAACAAAAGAAACCCUUAGGCACCAGAAGAAAGCAAACCAUAAAAAUUAGAGCAGAAUAAAAUGAAAUAGAGAAUAGAAAAACAAUUGAAAGAGUUAACAAGACCAAAAGGUUCUUUGAAAAAAUUAACAAAAUCGAUAAACCAUUGGCUAACUGACAAAAGAAAAACAGGAGAGGAAGCAAAUAACCCAAAUAAGAAAUGAGAUGGGCGAUAUUACAGCACACCCAACUGAAAUUAAAGGAAUACUAUCAGAUUACUGUGAGAAACUGUACUCUAACAAGUUUGAAAACCAGAAGAAAUGGUUGAAUUUCUAGGAACACUACCUACCUAAACUAACACAAACAGAGGUAGAACAACUAAAUAAACCCACAACAAAAGAAGAGAUUGAAAAGGUAAUUAAAAACUCCAAAAAAAAAAAAAAUUCCUGGCCUGACUGCUUCACUGAGGAGUUCUACCAAACUUUCAGAGAAGAGUUAACACCACUACUACUAAAGGUAUUUCAGAGCUUAGAAAAGGAUGGAAUACUACCUAACUCAUUCUAUGAAGCCAGUGUAUCCCUGAUACCAAAACCAGGUAAAGACACCACAAAGAACCAAAACUACAGACCUAUAUCCCUUAUAUCCCUCAUGAAGGUAGAUGCAAAAAUUCUCGAUAAAAUUCUAGCCAACAGAUUUCAACAACAGAUCAAAAAAAUGCUUCACUAUGACCAAGUGGGAUUCAUACCAGGUAUGCAGGGAUGGCUCAACAUUAGAAAAACAAUCAAUGCAAUCCAUCAUAUAAAGAAAACAAAAGACAAGAACCAAAUAAUCUUAUCAAUUGAUGCAGAAAAGGCAUUUGACAAAGUUCAACACCCAUUCAUGAUAAAAACUUUCCGCAAAAUAGGAGUAGAAGGGAAAUUCCUCAAAAUAAUAAAGAGCAUUUAUACAAAGCCAACAGUCAACAUUAUCCUAAAUGGAGAGAGCCUGAAAGCAUUUCCCUUGAGAACGGGAACCAGACAAGGAUGCCCUUUAUCACCCCUCUUAUUCAACAUUGUGCUGGAGGUCCUAGCCAGAGCAAUUAGGCUAGACAAAGAAAUAAAGGGCAUCCAGAACGGUAAGGAAGAAGUAAAAGGAUCUCUAUUUGCCGAUGAUAUGAUCUCAUCACAGAAAACCCUAAAGAAUCCUCAAGAAAACUACUGAAACUAAUAGAAGAGUUCAGCAGAGUAUCAGGAUACAAGAUAAACAUACAAAAAUCAGCUGGAUUCCUCUACACCUACAAAGAAAACGUCAAAGAGGAAAUCACGAAUUCAAUGCCAUUUACAGUAGCCUCCAAGAAGAUAAAAUACUUAGGAAUAAACCUAACCAGAGACAUAAAAGACCUGUACAAAGAAAACUGCAAGACACCACUGCAAGAAACCAAAAGAGACCUACAUAAGUGGAGAAACAUACCUUGAUCAUGGAUAGGAAGACUCAACAUUGUAAAAAUGUCUACUCUACCCAAAACAAUCUAUAGAUACAAUGCAAUUCUGAUCCAAAUUCCAACAUUUUUUAAUGCAAUGGAGAAGCAAAUCAUCACCUUCAUAUGGAAGGGAAAGAGGCCCCAGAUAAUUACAGCAUUACCGAAAAAGAAGAACAAAGUGGGAGGCCUCAGAUUACCUUUUAGAAUAUAUUAUACUGCCACAGUUGUCAAAAACAGCCUGGUACUGGUACAACAGAUUUGUGGAGCAAUGGAACCGAGUUGAGAAUCCAGACAUAAAUCCAUUCACAUAUGAGCUAGCAGCUGAUAUUUGAAAAAGGGCCAAAGUCAGUUAAAUGGGGAAAAGAUGGUCUCUUUUUAACAAACGGUGCUGUCACAACUGGAUAUCCAUCUGCAAAAAAAUGAAGUAAGACCCAUACCUCACACCACACAAAAAACAAACUCAAAAUGGAUCAAAGACCUAAACAUAAAAUCUAAAACAAUAAAGAUCAUGGAAGAAAAAAUAGGGACAAUGCUAGAAGCCCAGUACAUGGCAUAAACAGAACACAAAACAUUACUAACAAUGCACAAGCACCAGAAGAGAAACUAGAUAACCAGGAGCUCCUAAAACUCAAACACCUAUGCUCAUCCAAAGACUUCACCAAAAGAGUAAAAAGCUUGCAUACAAAUUGGGAAAAAGUUCUUAGCUAUGACAUUUCUGAUCAGCUUCUGACCUCUAAAAUCUACAUGAUACUGCAAAAACUCAACAAGAAAAGAAUAACCCAAUUAAAAAAUGAGUAAAUGAUAUGAACAGGUACUUCACCAAAGAAGACUUUCAGGCAGCUAACAGAUACAUGAGAAAAUGCUCACUAUCAUUAGCCAUUAGAGAAAUGCAAAUCAAACCUACAAUCAGAUUCCAUCUCACUCCAACAAGGCUGGCAUUAAACCAAAAAACACAAAAUAAUAAAUGUUGGAGAGGCUGUGGAGAGACUAGAGCCCUUACACGCUGCUGGUGGGAAUGUAAAAUGGUACAACCACUUUGGAUAUCAAUUUGGCACUUCCUUAAAAAGCUAGAAAUAGAAAUACCAUACGAUCCAGCAAUCCACUCCUUAGAGGAAUAAGAGCCUUUACACGAACAGAUAUAUGCACACCCAUGUUCAUUGCAGCCCUGUUUACAAUAGCAAAAAGAUGGAAGCAACCAAGGUGCCCAUCAACGGAUGAAUGGAUAAAUAAAUUAUGGUAUAUUCACACAAUCGAAUACUACACAUAAAGAACAACGAUAAAUUCGCAAAGCAUUUCAUAACAUGGAGGAAUCUGGAAGGUGUUGUUGUUGUUGCUGUUGUUGUUAGGUGCUGUCAAGUAGGUUCCGACUCAUAGUGACCCUAUGCACAACAGAACGAAACACUGCCCAGUCCUGCACCAUCCUUACAAUCGUUGUUAUGCUUGAGCUCAUUGUUGCAGCCACUGUGUAAAUACACCUCGUUGUGGGUCUUCCUCUUUUCCACUGACCCUGUACUUUGUCAAACAUCAUGUCCUUCUCCAGAGACUGAUCCCUCCUGACAACAUGUCCAAAGUAUGUAAGAUGCAGUGUCGCCAUCCUUGCUUCUAAGGAGCAUUCUGGUGUACUUCUUCUGAGACAAAUUUGUUUGUUCUUUUGGCAGUCCAUGGUAUAUUCAAUAUUCUUCAUCAACACCACAAUUCAAAGGCAUCAAUUCUUCUUCACUCUUCCUUAUUCAUUGUCCAGCUUUCAAAUGCAUAUGAUGUGAUUGAAAAUACCAUGGCUUGGGUCAGGCUCACCUUAAUCUUCAAGGUGACAUCUUUGCUUUUGAACACUUUAAAGGGUCCUUUGCAGCAGAUUUGCCCAAUGCAAUGCAUCUUUUGAUUUCUUGACUGCUGCUUCCAUGGCUGUUGAUUGUGGAUCCAAGUAAAAUGAAAUCCCUGACAACUUCAAUCUCUUCUCUAUUUAUCAUGAUGUUGCUCGCUGGUCCAGCCGUAAGGAUUUUUGUUUUGUUUUGUUUUGUUUUAUGUUGAGGUGCAAUCCAUACUGAAGGCUGUGGUCUUUGAUCUUCAUGAGUAAGUGCUUCAAGUCCUCUUCACUUUCAGCAAGCAAGGUUGUGUCAUCUGCAUAACACAGGUUGUUAAUGAGUCUUCCUCCAAUCCUGAUGCCCUGUUCUUCUUCACAUAGUCCAGUUUCUUGGAUUACUUGCUGAGCAUACAGAUUGAAUAGGUGUGGUGAAAGAAUACAACCCUGACACACACCUUUCCUGACUUUAAACCAGUUACUAUCCCCUUGUUCUGCCCAAACAACUGCCUCUCGAUCUAUGUAAAGGUUCCUCAUGAGCACAAUUAAGUGUCCGGAAUUCCCAUUUGUAGCAGUGUUAUCCAUAAUUUGUUACGAUCCACAAAAUCAAAUGCCUUUGCAUAGUCAAUAAAACACAGGUAAACAUCCUUCUGGUAUUUUCUGCUUUCAGCCAGGAUCCAUCUGACAUCAGCAAUGAUAUCCCUGGUUCCACGUCCUCUUCUGAAACCGGCCUGAAUUUCUGGCAGUUCCCUGUCAAUACAGGUACAGCCAUUUUUGAAUGAUCUUCAGCAAAAUUUUGCUUGCGUGUGAUAUUAAUGAUAUUGUUCUAUAAUUUCCACAUUCGGUUGGAUCACCUUUCUUGGGAAUAGGCAUAAAUAUGGAUCUCUUCCAGUCAGUUGGCCAGGAAGCUGUCUUCCAUAUUUCUUGGCAUAGACGAUUGAGCACCUCCAGCGCUGUAUCUGUUUGUUGAAACAUGUCAAUUGAUAUUCCAUCAAUUCCUGGAGCCUUGCUUUUCGCCAAUGCCUUCAGGGUAGCUUGGACUUCUUCCUUCAGUACCAUCCGUUCCUGAUCAUAUGCUACCUCUUGAAAUGGUUGAACAUCAAGUAAUUCUUUUUUGUAUAAUGAGUCUGUGUAUUUCUUCCAUCUUCUUUUGAUGCUUCCUGGGUCCUUUAAUAUUUUCCCCAUAGAAUCCUUCACUAUUGCAACUUGAGGCUGGAAUUUUUUCUUCAGUUCUUUCAGCUUGAGAAACAUCAAGCAUAUUCUUCCCUUUUGGUUUUCCAUCUCCAGCUCUUUGCACAUGUCAUUAUACUUCUUUACUUUGUCUUCUCGAGAGGCCCUUUGAAAUCUUCUGUUCAGUUCUUUUACUUCAUCUGAAGGAUAGAUUUUACUUCAUUUGAAGAAUGGAUUUGAUGCAUUGAACACUAAUGACUGAAGAACAGACGAGUUGUGGAGUGACAUCAAGGACAUCAUACAUGAAGAAAGCAAGAGGUCAUUGAAAGGGCAGGAAAGAAAGAAAAGACCAAGAUGGAUGUCAGAGGAGACUCUGAAACUUGCUCUCGAACAUCAAGCAGCUAAAGCAAAAGGAAAAUUGAUGGAAGGCAUCACACUGAGUGAAAUUAGACAGUUGGAAAAGGGCAAAUACUGUACAAGAGCACUAUUAUAAGAACUCAAGAAAUAGUUUAAACACAGAAGAAAAUAUUCUUUGAUGGUUACCAGGGUGGGGAGGGAGGGAGAGAGGUAUUCACUAAUUAGUCAGUAGACAAGAACUAUUUUAGGUGAAGGGAAAGAUAACACACAAUACAGAAGAGGUCAGCACAACUGGACUAAAUCAAAAGCAGUUUCCCGAAAAAAACUGAAUGCUUUGAAGGUUAGAGUAGCAGGGGUGGGGGUCAAAGGAUCAUGGUUUCAGGGGACAACUAGGUCAUUUGGCAUAAUAAAAGCUAUUAAGAAAACAUUCUACAUCCCACUUUGGUGAGUGGCAUCUGGAGUCUUAAAUGCUACCAAGUGCCCAUCUAAGAUGGAUCAAUUGGUCUCAACCCACCUGGAGCAAAGGAGAAUGAAGAACACCAAAGAUACAAGGUAAUUAUAAGCCCAAGAGAUAGACAGAGCCACGUAAAUCAGAGACUACAUCAGCCUGAGACCAGAAGAACUAAAUGAUACCCAGCUACAACUGAUGAUUGCCCUGACAGGAAACACAACAGGGAAUCCCUGAUGGAGCAGGAGAACAGUGGGAUGCAGACCUCAAAUUCUCAUAAAAAGGCCAGACUUAACGGUCUGACUGAGAAUAGAAGGACCCCGGAGGUCACGGUCCUCAGACCUUCUGUUAGCCCAAGACUGGAACCAUUCCCAAAGUCAACUCUUCAGACAGGGAUUGGACUGGAGUAUAAGAUAGAAAGUGAUACUGGUGAGGAGUGAGCUUCUUGGCUCAAGUAGACACAUGAGACUAUGUGGCAGCUCCUGUCUGGAGAGGAGAUAGAAGGCAGAAGGGGGGCAGAAGGUGGCUGAAUGGACACGGGGAAUACAGGGUGCUGUCUUAUUGGGGGGAGAGCAACUAGGAGUACAUAGCAAGGUGUACAGAAAUUUUGUAUGAGAGACUGACUUGAUUUGUAAACUUUCUCUUAAAAAAAAAAAAUUAAAGCACCAUAAAAAUAAAAGGAGGGGAUGGCCAAGGGUAGAUAGAACCAUCUACAGCACUUGUGGGGUCCUGUUUGAAAUGAAAACGUGGAGCCCCUUGUUCAAAAAUUAUUAAUUUUUGAAAUUAAAUAAAAAAUUUGAAGACAUAAACAACAGAGCUUUAAACUCAGCGCAGGCCCCUUCUGAGCACAGGGACCUAUGUGCCUGCAAAGGUCUCAGACCCAGGAAGGUGUGCGUGGCCGUACGGAAUUAUUAAAAAGGAGUAAGAAGGAAGUGAAGGAUGUGGGGCAUAGACGGACUGGUGGUACAGGACACGUACAGGGAACUUCCACUCGAACAUGGGCAGAGGUGGAUUGACACCCAAGUCUGAAGCGAGUCACUGGAGGUCAGACCUCACAGACAAUAGAGACAAACAACACAAAAAGAUUUGCUUUUAAAAAGACCAUACUGGACACACAAUGGAUGAUAGAUGAGGGAGGGGAAAUAUUCGAGGUGGGCAGAGCUGUGGGAAGGUACUGCCUGUACCAGCAGGGAGAAACAUGUACAACCAGAAAAAAUAUAGAUACAACUCCCACACAUCUGUAUGGGUUGACCAGGUGGAAGGUGGUACUAAUACACAUAAAGGAGAGAAAAGCCACUUGCCCCUCGCACCCCAGCGCCAUCUGAAUUCCAAGAAUACCCUUCCUCUCUGACAGGUACCACUCACCAUGGACACAGACUUCCUUCCCCCAAGUCUAAGGUGACAUUUUUCUCGCCCUCAGAGUUGCUGACCAUGCAGGUGAGACUGACAUUAGGCUGGCUCUGGGGCUUGCUCAGAGGAAGGCUCACAGCCAGGGUUCAGGAGUUGGUAACUGGUCCUGGUGUCUCUCUCUGCUUGAGGUCCCUGGGGAGUCCCUUGCUCUCCCAGGUCAUGUUCAGAUUCUUUGAGGUCCCUGUGACCCUGCACUCCAGGGUGACAUUGCACCACCCUGGUGUGAUGAAUUGACCAGGAUCUGGGGGAGGGGGAUGGGCUCUGGGUCAGGAGGGGACAUAAGAAAGGAACAAUGCCUUGCAUGUGUGGAGCAUAUUACAGGUCACAUUUUCACAACCACUAUCUCACUGACACCCCAGCAGCCUCCUACAAGGAAGGUGGGAGAUUUUACAGAUGAAAGAACUAAGGCUCAGAGAGGUAACACAAUUUGCCCAAAGCUAAAUAUUGAGCGAGUGACAAGAGAAUCUAAGACUUUCACUUUUCCUAGAGCCACAAGGUUACGUCUUUUGUGAUUUCACUAAAUUGAGCAAGUCUUAAGGAUCUCCCACAUGAAAAUAAAGGGAGAACAUUAGAUAUCACAUGCAUUCAGGGGGAGCCAGUAUUUCUAAGAAUUUGGGGUCUUUCCUGGAAGCAGAAGAAAUCUGAGACAGAAGGGCUUGUCCAGGUCCAGGGCCCUUACCAUAUUUCUCUAGCUGAGAUGGAGUCUGGGGACUGCACAGCCAGCGUGGGGUAGGAUAUCAGGCAAGUUUGCGGAGGCCAGAGAAAGGACUUAUGCCCCCAAAGUAGAGAUGGUUGUGGAACACACAGCAGUAGAUACUAGGGACAACCACCCCUCAUGUGGUUAGAAUAUGCCACGGAACUUGUGUGACAGACUGGAAGAGAAGCAACAGAUUGAUAAAUUCGUCUUUGAAAUCACAUGAGCCCUAAAAACUGCCAAAGCCACACUCUCCAUAGCAGGAUAUUUCCCUAUGCAGUGAGAAACUUUAGGGAGACAAAGAGUUGACUAAGUGGAUUUCUUAAGAAGUGUUGGAAUGUAAACUUUCUCCCACAUCAGUCAAGGCAUUUAGAGCUGGAUAUGUGGUGUAUUUUGUGAGUAAGGCUGGCCUCAGGCUGGUGUUGAGUGUCAGGAGAGGGGACCAGGGGGGAUCACCUACACAUGGAUUUUCAAAUUGUGGUAGGCAGAAUUAUGCCCCCACCCCGCCCCAAAGAAGUCCAUGUCCUAAUCCUUGAAAUCUGUAACUAUGUUAGGUUCCGUGGCAAGGGGAAUUAAGUUGCAGAAGGAAUUAAGUUUGCCAGUCAAUUGACCUUAAAAUAGGGGCACUAUCCUGGAUUGUCCGGGUAGAUACGGUGUAAACACAAGGGUGGGAAAAAGAUUCAAAAGCAAAGUUCGGAGUGAUGAAAUAUGAUAAGAAUUUGAAGCACUAUUGUUGACUUUGAAGAUGUCAGAAGGGAUCAUGAGACAAGGAAUGUGGCUGGCCCCUAGAAGCAGAGAUAGACAAGAAAACUGUGUUAUUAUCCUCACAACAAGAAAAAAACUAAAAAUCUGAAACUCACUAACCCUUCUUAGAUCAGAGAAUUGAAGUCACAAAGCAAAGGGCUGCCCCAAACGACAGAGAGACAGACAGGCUGAUAACAGAGAAUCACUGCUUACCAGGAGCAGAGCCGACCACUGCCAACACGGCCACUGCUGGACCCACUAUCAGGUAGGGAUGCCUAAAGAGUAAUUAAAUGCAGUAGACUGAGCACAGACUAGCUUGAGAGAUAAAAAACAAAACAAAUAAAACCUCCUGUAAGUGUGGGAGACCCCACACUUCCAAGAAUUUUACCUACAGGACCCACCCAAUGUUUUCACUUUGAAGCUUAGAAAAAAAUUCCCUUGUGCUUCUGGCAGGAAGAAGGAGAAAAUAACAUUUUGAAAUACUGCUCUGUUUUCCUUGACAACGGCAUGCCCUCAAGGGAAAGUGCUUUACCAGAACCUAGGCAACAUGGGUUUUUUAAGAGCCAUAAUGAUGUGAAAGAUCUAGCCUUCCACACUGAAAAGAGAACUGUCAAACUGCAACCCUUUCUAGGCUUCAACAAGGGAGAAAGGAAAUAUCCAACCCCAGGACCCUCCAGCCUUCCUAUUUAAGCUAACAGGUGGGAGAAAACAGCUGAGAAGCACUCAUGAAGACCGCAGUUCAGGGGUACAGCCUUACUAAAAGAUUGAGACCUAAUCAUAGGAUCAUAGAAUGCUCUCCCAAAUCAUCACCAUACGUCAAUGUCAAGAGAGCUUUACAAAUGAGAAAACCUCAGUUCUUUGUUUCUGAUGUUUCAUGUCCAGUUUUCAACAAAAAACUUACAAAUCCUGCUAAAAAGUUUGAAGUGGUAGGGUAAACAUCCGAACCAGACUCAGAUAUGGCAGGGAUAUUAGAAAUUUACCAGCAAUUUAAAAUAUCUAUGAUUAAUAUCAUAGACCACAGCCUUCAGCAUGGAUUACACCUCAACAUAAAACAAAAACAAAGCCCCUCACAACUGGACUAAUAAACAACAUCAUGAUAAAUGGAGAAAAGAUUGAAGUUGUCAAGGAUUUCCUUUUACUAGGAUCCACAAUCAACUCCCACGGAAGCAGCAGUUAAGAAAUCAAAAAAUGCAUUGCAUUGGGCAAAUCUGCUACAAAAGACCUCUUUAUAGUGUUGAAAAGCAAAGAUGUCACCUUGAACACUAAGGUGCACCUGACCCAAGACAUGGUGCCUUUAAUUGUCUCAUAUGCAUGCGAAAGCUGGACAAUGAAUAAGGAAGACAAAAGAAGAAUUGAUGUCUUUCAAUUGUGGUGUUGAAGAAGAAUUUUGAAUAUACCAUGGACUUCCAAAAGAAUGAACAAGUCUGUCUUGGAAGAAGUACAACUAGGAUGUUCCUAAGAAGCAAGGAAGGCAAGACUAGGUCUCACAUACUUUGGACAUGUUAUCGGGAGGGAUCAGACCCUGAAGAAGGACAUCAUGCUUUGUGAAAUAGAAGGUCAGUGAAAAAAAGAAAGACCUUCAACAAGAUGGACUGACACAGUGUCUGCAACGAUGGGCUCAAGCAUAACAAUGAUUGUUAGGAGGGGGCAAGACUGCAUGGUGUUUUGUUCUGUUGUUCAUAGGGUCUCUAUGAGUCAGAACUGACUCAACAGGAUCUAACAACAAUAAUAGAAAUGUUUAAGCAGUUGGCUACUAACCGAAAGACUGUCGGUUCAAACCCAUCCAGAGGUUCCUCAGCAGAAGGGCCUGGCAAUCUACUUUCAACAAUCACAGCUAUUGAAAACAACAUGUGCAGCUCUACUCUGAAAUACAUAGAUUGCCGGGAGUCAGAACUGAUUGACAGCAAGUGUUGCUUUUUUUGUUGUUGUUUGUUUUUGUUUUUUUAUGAUCAAUAUGCUAAGGGCUAUAAUGCAAAACGUAGUCAACAUGUAAGAACAGAUAGGUUAUCUAAAAAAAACUGAAAUUCUAAUAUAUAUUCAGAAGGAAAUGUAAAAAAUCUAAAGCACUGUUACAGAAAUGAAGAAUGGCUUUAAUGGGCUCAUUAGUACAACAGAAUAUCUAAGAACUGUGUGACAAAUAAAAAAGGUAUAACAUAUGAGUAAUGGGAAUAGUAGAAGGAGAAAAAGGACCAGAAAAAAAGAUUUGAAGUAAUAACUCCUGAGAAUUUUCUAACACUGGAAAUCACAACAUAGAUCCAAGAAGCUCAGAAAACACCAACUCGGGUAAAUGCCAAAAACUACAUGUAGGCAUAUAACAUAGACAAAGUGCUGAAAAUCAAAGACAAAAAGAAAAUCUUGAAAGAAGUAAAAUAGAAAAAUAUAUACCUUACCUAUAAAAGAGCAUGGUUAAAAAUGACAUUAGACUUCUCUUCAGAAACCACGCAGGCAAAGAGAAAGCGGAGUUAAAUAUUUAGUGUUGAAAGAAAAAAAAAAAAAAAAGCCAACCUAAAAUUUCUUACCCUGAAAAAUUAUCCUUCAAAACUGAAGAAGUAAAGAAUUUUUUCCAGAAAAAAAAUUUAAAGAAUUUGAUGCCACUAGACCUGUCUUACAAGAAAUGAUAAAAGAAGUUCUUCAAGAGAAGGAAAAUGACAUAGAUCAGAAACUCAGAACUUAUGUAAAGAAAGGAAAAGCAUCCAAACCAGAGUAAACGAAGGUAAAAUCUUUUGUUUUCUUAACUGAUCUAGCAGAUAAAAAUUUGUUUACAAUAAUAACAGAAACAAUCUAUUAUAUGAUUAUAGCUUAUGGAUAAGUGAAAUGUAUAAUAGCAGUAUAAUCACUAAUAAGGUACAGGAGACAGGAAUUGAGAAUACUCUGUUAUAAAAUACCUGUAACAACCAUGAAGUGGAAUAGUGUUAUUUGAAAGCGAACUUAGAUUAAUUGUAAGCAUAUAUUGCAAACUCUAGGUCAACCAUUAAAAAUCUUGUUAAAGAAGUAUAAUUAAUAUGACUCCAUGCAAAUAGAAUCACACAAAUUGCUGAGUUAAAACAAGACAAAGCAAUAAAAAGGUGGGGGGAGCAAAGAAGGAGGUAUCAAAUAGAAAACAGUAACAAGUGUGGUAGAUAUUAAUAUAAUUAUAUCAAUAAUCACUUUAAAUAUGAAUGGUCUAGAUAUAUCAAUUAAAAGACAGAGCAUAUCAGAUUAGAUAAAAAAAAAAAAACAAGACUCGACUCUAUGUUGUCAACAAGAAACUCACUUUAAAUAUAAAGAGAUGGAGAAAUAUAUACAAUGCUGACACUAAACAAAAAAAAAGCUAAAAUAGCCAUUUUAAUUUCAGAGCAAGGAAAAUUACCAGGUAUAAAGAAGAGUAUUAUAUAAUCAGUAAGGGGCCAAGUCUCCAAAAAGAUAUAACAAUCCUUAAUGUGUAUGUGCCCAAAACAGUGUCAAAGUACGUGAUGCAAAUUUAGUAGAACUGUAAGGAAAAAAUAGAAUAAUUCGCUACUCUGCUUGGGUACUUCAACAUCAUUCUAGUAGUAAUUGACAGAUUCAGCAGGCAGGAAAUAAGGAUGUAGUGGAACUGAAUUGCACCAUCAGUCAACUGAAUCUAGUUGACCUUUAGAGAGUACUUCACCCAACAACAGCAAAAUACACAUUCUUCUCAAGCUCACAUGGAACAUUCACCAAGAUAGACCACAAUUCUGGGCUAUAAAGUAAGCCAUAACCAAUUUAAAAGAACAGAUAAUACACAAAGUGUGCUCACAGACCACAUUAGAAUUCAACUCAAAAUCAGUAACAGAAAUAUAGCUGAAAAAUCUCAAAAUAUUUAGAGAUUAAACAACACACUGCAAAGUAACACGUAAGCCAAAGAAAUCUCAAGAGGAAUUUAAAAUAUUUUGAACAAAAUGAACAUAUGACUUACCAAAAUUUUGUGGAAUGCAGUGAAGGCAGUACUUAGUGGAAAACCUACAGCAUUGAGUUCAAAUAAUAAAAAAAAAGAGAGAGAUCUAAAAUCAAAAAUCUACGCUUCCAUCUUAGGAAACUCAAAAAGAAGAACAAAUUAAAUCCAAAGUGAACAGAAGAAAAGAAAUAAUAAAAAUUAGAGCAGAAAUCAAUGAAAUUGAAAAAGGUGAAUAGAGAAAAAUCAAUAAAAUAAAAAAAUUUGUUCUUUGGAAAAAUCAGCAAAAUAGAUAAACCACAGGAAAAAAAGAGAGAACCCACAAAUCACUAAUAUUAUAAAAGAAAGGAGGACAUCUCAGCUGAUCCCAUGAACAUUAAAAGGGUAGUAAAAAAAAAAAAAAGAUACUACAAGCAACUCU